ensembl:lncRNA
CCACAAUUAAAAUUAUUUUUCAAUAUUGAACCUAUUUGGUCAGAAUUCACAUAUUAAACCUGUAUAUACAGUCUCUAGUGAAAGUCUACACACCUCUUGCCCAGUAUUCACAUUAAGCUGCCUUCAAAUUAAAAACAUUAAGGACACAUGCUCUUUCCAUGACAGACUGACCAGGUGAAAGCUCUAUGAUCCCUUGUUGAUGUCAACUGUUAAAUCAACUUCAAUCAGUAUAGGUGAAAGGGGAGAGAUCUCCAACCCAGGUUCAGACAGUGAGCCCAGUUCCACAGCAUCAGGAAACAAUAAACACAGACAGAGGAACUCAAGACAGAAACAUCACCACUGCAUGGACUGCUUCACUAGUUUCUAUGAGCCAAAGGAGUUGAAGACACACUUGUAGGCCCCAACCCUGCUCAGACUGCAGAGACAGUUUUAUUUGUCCAAUUGACCUUAAAUCACCCCAACAGACUCUCAAAAGAAAGAAAACUUACCCCUGUGAUCAAUGGGGGAAUAGCAAACUAAAGAUGUACCAAGUAACUCAAAGGGA